rnacentral:rRNA from 1 species
UUUAUGGAGAGUUUGAUCCUGGCUCAGGAUGAACGCUGGCGGCGUGCCUAAUACAUGCAAGUCGAGCGAACAGAUAAGGAGCUUGCUCCUUUGACGUUAGCGGCGGACGGGUGAGUAACACGUGGGUAACCUACCUAUAAGACUGGAAUAACUCCGGGAAACCGGGGCUAAUGCCGGAUAACAUGUUGAACCGCAUGGUUCUACAGUGAAAGACGGUCUUGCUGUCACUUAUAGAUGGACCCGCGCCGUAUUAGCUAGUUGGUGGGGUAACGGCCUACCAAGGCGACGAUACGUAGCCGACCUGAGAGGGUGAUCGGCCACAC